GGGGAUGUAGCUCACUGGCAGAGUGUUUGCUUAGCAAGCAUGAGGUUCUGGAUUAGAUCCCAGCAUCUUGA
rnacentral:tRNA from 1 species